UACGAAGGGGGGCUAGCGUUGCUCGGAAUCACUGGGCGUAAAGCGCACGUAGGCGGGUCCUUAAGUCAGGGGUGAAAUCCCGGAGCUCAACUCCGGAACUGCCUUUGAUACUGGGGAUCUUGAGUCCGGAAGAGGUGAGUGGAACUCCGAGUGUAGAGGUGAAAUUCGUAGAUAUUCGGAAGAACACCAGUGGCGAAGGCGGCUCACUGGUCCGGUACUGGACGCUGAGGUGCGAAAAGCGUGGGGGAGCAA
rnacentral:rRNA from 1 species